AAAAAUUCAAAAUUGUUUCAGGUACCACCCAGCUGUUAUAACUCUGUUAGAUCCCACAUGGAAGGAAAAGCUUCAGACAAGUACUAAAACUUCCCUCUCUCCCUUGCCUUCGAUUCUAUCAGCUGUUGCCAUGUUAGUGCUCACAGCAAUGGAAUGAAUCUUAUUUUGGAGAAAGCAUUUUGCUUAAUUGCAUUAUUUCAAUUUCUAGAUUUCACUCUUUAUAACUAGAUAAGAUAAUUUAAUUAUUACUGUAGAAUGGUUUGGUGCUCGGGUAUGUUAUAAAACAAGAGUAACAUGCAUUUAUCCCACUAAAUUGGGUCAGCUACAUGAAUCUUUUUUCUCCAUUUUGUUC